UUGUGAAUGUAUCAAUGUUCAUUAUCAUCAAGGGAGAACAAUGCUCUCUGCACAUUUAAAACUGCUGGAGAACCUUUCUUUGCUUUCUCCACUAUAUGCCUAAUUAACAACUUUUCCAUCUCAUCAUCACUUUCAUCAUUCAUCCUAUCAUUUUCAAUCCAGUCAAAGUUAUGCUCACGUGAACGCGAGUUCUCUUGAUGGUUGAUGUCCAUAACUCCUGGUGCAACAGCAACAUCCUCCUCCUCUGAAUUUAACCUUGUGAACACGUUAUAAGCCUCGUUAUAUGCAUCUAAAGCAUCCCCG
rnacentral:misc_RNA from 1 species